GUCACCACAUUCAGCACCACAAAUGCUCUGCGGUGUGACCUGAGGCACAGAGGGGGGCCUGGAUUCAUGAGCUGGGUAUGGAACAGGAAUGAGAAUUCAGAAUCCUUGAAACCACCACCCCCACCACCACCACCACAAAGACUCCUGCACAGCCUGACUCAGACACGUUGCAAUCUGCUGGCCGAAGGCAAUGGUGUGGACCAGAGACAGGUCAGCCCGUCGGGAGGGUGCACAGGCAGAGAGUCAUCCUCAAGCAGAGCCUCAGGAGGAGGCUGGCUGAUGGAGCCAGAGAGACCCGGUGUAAGCCAGGACCCUGUUAGGAACCCUAUUCUCCUCCCAUCCUGGCCGUGCCUGGACCACAGCAAGCGCUGCACGUCUGAAUCUCAAAGAAACAAUUCAACAUGUGUAAAUGACUCUGACUGCCCUCCAUGGGAAGCAGAUCGUGCCUUCAGUAUUUCUCAACUCCUGACUGGGAAUCACAGGGUUGCCAGGCUGGAAACCUGGACACCUGGGGCCGGAACCCUUCCCUUGGAGCUCUCCCGGGUUUGCUUUCAGAGAUCAAGCCCAGUCUGGCACGAUCAGGCACCCUUGGGAUUCACCGCCUUUAUAGUUACCCUAAAAUAA
rnacentral:lncRNA from 13 species